AUCCGGCUGACCAGUCCCAACUAGGACGAAACGUGAGUCCUGGAU
rnacentral:hammerhead_ribozyme from 1 species